UAUAAUUGUUGGUGACCCACUGUAGCAUCAUCUGUUCUGUUCAUUGGAGUUUAUAUGUCUCUGUGUAUUUUCAAUUUAUUAGCGACGUCGAUCAAAUGUAUAAAGUAAUUUUUUUUAGACAACUUAGAAUGGCAAACAAGCUGAAGGCCCACCUGAUGGAAAGUGGUAACCGUCGCCUAUAGACGUGAGCAGUACCAUGGACAUAACAGAGUAUACUGUUUCGCCCAUGAUACCCCCAUAUAGUGCGGUUACUUGUAGGAAUGUAUGAUAAAAGUAAGGAUGACAAGUAUAUCUUUUACGAAUAAAAUUAUAUCAUUCUAAACAUAGUGGAAUUUUUUGUAGCUACAGAACCCUUGCCCAUUUCUAAUGCUCUGUACUGGCAGCUAUAUUCCGGCGUGCUCUUGAAAUAUCAAUUGGCCAUGUCAAGGGGACGGCUAAAUGUAUCUCGGAAUAAAAUUAUCCCGCAUACAUGUCCUGACUUUGAUAAGAUUACUGAGCCACAUUGAAAUCAGGUAAACAGUUAUGUCACCAAUACACAUACAUAUGUAUACAUAUGUGUAAAGUGCACGCAUGUGUGCAGUACAUGUAUGCAAGUGGGCGUGAGGGUUCGCCAGUGGUGUCGCGAUGCCGCGGCAGCUGUGGCCUACAACUAUUUCGCCAUUAAAAUGCAGUUUAAGUUUCAGACAGUCGUGUUUCUAUGCUCCUCGCUAAAUAUGGUACACCUUAUUAUUUUUGCAAACCCGACACGAAAGAACGAUGAGUAUGCGCAUGUGUGUGCGCGAGUGUGAUUAUCGAGCGAUGCCUGUGAGUGUCGCGACUCGCUGCAUGAAGAUAAAUCGAAGCUAUUAAUAUAAAAUUAUUUAUUGAUCUUGGGAUAAUAUGUUUAUCUCUUCAUAUUCCAUUACGUGGAACCAGUUGAUCACUCGUUCUUUUGCACUUCAUGGCAGAAAUAAGUACUGUGAUCCUUUUGAAGUCGCCUUCAAUAUACACAACAAACUCUGUAUUGAUAUAGCUUAUCGAAUGACGGCUUUUCAUAAUUUCUGAAGCACGAAACUUAUUUUUUUAAUAAUCCAAGCAGGAAUUGGAAUUCAGAGGCUUUUAAUCUGGGAACAAAACAGGUACUAAUCUAGAAUAUGUAUGUGUUUUUGUCUGUUCUUGGAUAUAGAGAUGGAAGGGGAUCUUCAAUAAAAUAAUGGUUAGUAUACUGGACUCAUCUUAUGAGGAGAAACGGGACAGAGGUCACAAAUGAUCCGGUAACAAUUUUGUGGUGUGUUAAAGCCUGUUCAGGUGGGUGACAAUCUAAGGCGUCCAUUUUUGUCUAUUAUUUGUAAUAGAACAUAGAAACGCAUGCUACAACGCACACGUGGCUGUGCUGCGCUGCUGACACAAAUGGGAAUUUUGACCUCCGCAAGCAGACUGACUGCGUUAUAGAAUCCAAAAUGAGGAUUUCCGCAGGAGAAACAAAAUGGGCGAGAUAGCUCGAAAGAUAAGCAAGCUGAUUGGUAAUAUGCCGGCUACAUUGUCUGUACAACCUAUAACUAGAAGAAGAAAUUUCUUGUAAUUGUUUAUAUUUAUAAUAAGUUUACUAUUGUAAUCUUUUGGAGAAAACAAUAAAGAGUAUCUAUCUAUCUAUCUAUCUAAGAAAUGUCCCUAAUUGGUGGUCUCUUAUAGGCAAAUGCAAUGUAGGUCAAACUCUCUCUAGAUGAAGCGACGACCUUGCAUCUGAUACAAACAGUCCGAUGCAGGCGGAUAAAGAUUUCCAAGCAUAGUAGUUUAUAUUUUCAUGCAGUUCGGAGAGGUAAACAAGCUACGUGAUAGAUAGUUGUAAUGGCGAACAUUGGAAAUAAAUAUGGGAUCAAUAUGGUUGUGAAUUUACACAUAUUAGUUCUUAGAAAUGGCAUUAGAUGGAUGCUCGAUCUGUCAGUGUGUAUUGUCCAAUAUGUAGGCGAUAGUUAACGUCGUUUGUCAGCUUGUAUCAGCAAUUUUAACAAUAUAAUAUUUCAGCCUGUUUUCCAUUUCCAGUCGUAUAAAAAAGUUGCAACCAAAAAGUUGUUCUCUUGUUUUGCCAACCUUGAACAUGUUUUGAUUAUUGUGCACUGUGUUGAUGUAAUAUGCUUAUAUUGCAUAUGUAUGUAUGUGUCCACAUGGCUACGGUGUCUCAGUUGGCAGCGGGCAGUGUGUAGAUAUGUGGUAUGUAGAUACAGUUGCCGCCACAUGACGACAGUGCACGCGGCCUGAUGUCCAUUUGGUGGCUGUGGCUGGUCGGUCGGCGACCCCGCGCGCGGCCGUGGGCGCCGCGAUAAACUUUAUAUACACGUAUUUACUAAUGUGUAUAUACACGCGUAUACGGCGGCCGCCAUAAGCCGCUGUAUCGCUUCGGCUGGUUAUGUUCGAUACCGUUACAUUUCUUGCUUCGGAUCUCGCUCGGCGGCUCCGCGCCGCGCUCGGCACGCAGCGCGCCGCCUCGAUACAGAGCGGGCGUCUUCACGCCGAGGGGUGAACUCGCUCGAGGAAGUGCCCUGUAUUUGCAAAGGAAUCCAUUAUAAUGUCAAAUAUGUAAUAAGUUACAUUUAAAAGUUAGACUUCAAAAAGAAGGAAGUUCUCA